GCUCCCGUCGUUCAAUGGAUAGGACGUAACCUUGCGGAGGUUAUGAUGUAGGUUCGAUUCCUACCGGGAGCA
rnacentral:tRNA from 1 species